UGUGCAUUUACUUAUAUUAGUGACUCACUGAAUUAAAAGUAAUUUCUUUUGCAGUAGGAGAUGACAUCUACUUCUUCCCAGUUGUUUGGGUAAAUUACCUUCUGGACUCAGCUGGCUGCGGGCUCUGCCGUGACUUACAGAAGACCAGCGCUGUGCCGGGUGACUGCUGUGAGUCUCUGUGCGUCCGGAAGGAAUCACCGCGGGAAUCAUUUUCCGGUUGGGAGCCAAGGGAGCUCUGGCCCCCUAUCCCAGACCCCAGCCCAGCCCCUGCAACACUGGACCACCCCUACUUCAGCUCUUAACAACACCGGAAACCUUUAGAAAGACUGCUGUCUUCCCAUACAAGAACUGAUGGCCAAGUCAAUCUCUGUUGCAAGUGACGCUUUGCCUGCGGGCAGAGAAAUCGCUGUGGCCGUCGCAGGACAGCAGGCAACGUCAGGCUUUCUGCAAAGCGGCCCGGAUCUGCUGAUGGACGUAGCCAGGGGACACCACAGCUCCAGUGCCAGGAAGCCUGAGGCGUGAGGGUCCAGUAUUCCCAAGGAGGGCUGGAUCUUGGACGAUGUAGAGGCUACCUUCGCAGAAUCCAGGCACACAUUCCCAGCUAACACGGGGUUAAUCCGCGAUGAAAGGAGUGGUUUAUCCCUGUGAGUGGGGACGUCUUACAUUUCUGUUAGCGCUGGAUACUGUAUGUGCAAUAUACUGUAUAUAUGUCCCACUUCAAGUGCGAAUCGAUACAGCAUAGCACAGCAUUAAAAAAGGCUAUGUCCAUCCUGAAUGGGCUGCUGUGCAUUGAAUACUUUCACAAAGGGACCAUCAUUGUCAAUAUCUCAUCCCACGAGGAGGAAACGGGUUGGUCACUCCAACAUUGUCUCGCGACAAGCCAACCUGCUCUGCUUCUUCUCCUUCCGAUCCCCUCGUUGGAAAGGAAGAGAGCUACAAAUAUCACUUCGACCUCACAUUUCAUGACAGCCACCGUCCAGCGCAUGAGACGGGCUCUAAAGCAGUAAUACUCAGAUCACAAAGAUGGAAACGUGUUUCAUAAAGUUGAAAGUGGAUGAAAGUCUUGUAAAUGGCAGAGAAAUACUCAGAACGCUUCAUCGGCAAAAGAGCUGGUCUUAUGUUAGACUUACAUUCACAAGUCAUCUUCAUAGCACCUCAGGCGAUUUAACAUGAGGACAGACCAGUCUGUCAGAAGACAUCUCGAGGCAUCUAAUGCAGUAGGCUGGGAAAAGGAACAUGAUUUUACAUCUCUGGCAGUGGCAUACAGUAACUUUGGCCAAGGACAUACUGUCACAAGCACCACAAGUGGGAAUUAUGUGGCAAAGACAGUAAUGAUCCAUCUUUUGUCUUUGGGUUAGUACACAUUCAAAAUGCAGGUGACAUGAUUUCCUCUGGUCUCACAGGCACUUGCAAAUGUAACAAAUGAAGAAGGCAAUGCAUCAUGCAAUUAUUAAAGAGUUCAAAUCCACUGGUGAGUAUAAUAUUGACUACAAGCUCCUUCGGGUCCCCUGCUGUUCCACACCAAAACCCAGGCAAAUUACUA